UCUUAUGACAUGAUUAUAAAUGGUUCAUGAUUUCAGUUCUAAUAUACUGAUCUAAUCACAUUACUAUUUCACUGUUUCAGUGUGAUCCAGUUCUGUGCGAUAACAUUUGCCUACUAUGCUCAAGCAACUGCAGCACAGGAAAUAUUUGGCCACACCUUGGAGUCCCUGCGUGGAAUUAAAUAUUUGUACAAGGAUGGAGAAAAAGAAAGCCUAGUGGCAGAUGAUUCUUCAUGAUGAUGAUGGAGAAAAAGUCUAUGCUAUCAGAGGCCAAAUUCAUGUGCCAAUAUAUGUCACUGGCAUUGUUAAAGUUCGCAAUGCAGAAAUUGCAAUUCUAGACAAUGAUCUUGGAAGUAUUGAAACCCAAAAAAUGCAUUUCUCAAGUUGAAACAUGAGACAAAAUAUGAGCACAUCUUUGCUGUUCGAAAUGCUGGCAAGAAAUUCGAGAUUGUUCUUGUUAAGUAUCUCUUGUUCUCUCUACUCAUUGAAUUUGUUAUAAUUCAUAUCAGAUAGAUAUUAACAGAUAUUGAAUUUCGAUUAUUUGUUCUUGUGCUUAUCACUUUAAAUUAUAAAAACCCAAUUGCAUCAUUGAGCAGAAAAUUUAUGUGCUGGUUUUAUAUAAUGCACCUUCAAUUUCUUCCAGUCGAGCUGGCUCUUUUAUCUAUUAAGUACAAACUAUGUGUAAUUAUAAUAUAAAUUGAAUGUCCUGACUGCUCUUGAUGUGGGAUAUUUAAUUGUUUACACUUAUUUUAAUAUAAACUUCCUUUUCUUUUUGUUUUAGGAGAACUCUUUCUUGCGGCCACUUGGCUAUCUUGAACAAGAGCAUAGAAAUAAUUAUAAUUAACUAUUAGUAAUUGGCAUUAAUGAAAAAAGCUAGUGUGUAUAUAUGUUAAUAAUUGGUUAAUUACCUCUCUUGCUUUUGUGUUAUCCCGCUAAUGUAUUUCUUCCUUCUUCUUGUUCUUGCUUCUCUGUCUUUGACUGAUGCUACUACCUUUGGUGGUGUUGCUUCUCUUUGACUGAUCCUCCUUCAUAUGAUUUUUUUAUGUGGUUUUGGUAGGUUUUGCAAUGGUGAACUGCCUAGUAAUAUUAGUGUUUCUAUUAAGGGCGUUACUUUACAUCUUCAUAAGGGUGCGGUUUCAUUAUGGCCAUCCAGAUGUAUUUGACAGAUCACUUUUUAUGUAAUUAGAUGAUAUUAAAAUAUUGAAGUUGUUAUUUUAUUUUAUUUUUUAAAGAAAAAUAGUAAUAAUUAUGUAGAACAAUACUAUAUGUAAUUAUGUUUGGAACUAUUGACAUUGAGAAUUUUUUUAUAUAUAGAGUUAUG